GAUAGUGAACCAGUACCGUGAGGGAAAGGCGAAAAGAACCCCGGCGAGGGGAGUGAAAAAGAACCUGAAACCGUGUACGUACAAGCAGUGGGAGCACGCUUAGGCGUGUGACUGCGUACCUUUUGUAUAAUGGGUCAGCGACUUAUAUUCUGUAGCAAGGUUAACCGAAUAGGGGAGCCGAAGGGAAACCGAGUCUUAACUGGGCGUUAAGUUGCAGGGUAUAGACCCGAAACCCGGUGAUCUAGCCAUGGGCAGGUUGAAGGUUGGGUAACACUAACUGGAGGACCGAACCGACUAAUGUUGAAAAAUUAGCGGAUGACUUGUGGCUGGGGGUGAAAGGCCAAUCAAACCGGGAGAUAGCUGGUUCUCCCCGAAAGCUAUUUAGGUAGCGCCUCGUGAAUUCAUCUCCGGGGGUAGAGCACUGUUUCGGCAAGGGGGUCAUCCCGACUUACCAACCCGAUGCAAACUGCGAAUACCGGAGAAUGUUAUCACGGGAGACACACGGCGGGUGCUAACGUCCGUCGUGAAGAGGGAAACAACCCAGACCGCCAGCUAAGGUCCCAAAGUCAUGGUUAAGUGGGAAACGAUGUGGGAAGGCCCAGACAGCCAGGAUGUUGGCUUAGAAGCAGCCAUCAUUUAAAGAAAGCGUAAUAGCUCACUGGUCGAGUCGGCCUGCGCGGAAGAUGUAACGGGGCUAAACCAUGCAC
rnacentral:rRNA from 1 species